rnacentral:rRNA from 1 species
UACAGAGGUGCCAAGCGUUAGGCGGAAUCACUGGGCUUAAAGCGCGCGUAGGCGGAUGUUUAAGUGUCUUGUGAAAUCCCACGGCUCAACCGUGGAACUGCUGGGCAUACUGGACAUCUUGAGGCACUCAGGGGCGAGCGGAACAAGUGGUGGAGCGGUGAAAUGCGUAGAUAUCACUUGGAACGCCAAUGGUGAAGACGAGCUCGCUGGGGGUGUCCUGACGCUGAGG